rnacentral:lncRNA from 10 species
GCAACAUGGAAAAGCUGGUCAAUUAGUUGAAAAAUACCCAUAUGAGAUGAUCCAACAGUGAACUUUCUUUCUUUUCUUUUUUUUUUUUUUUGAGAUGGAGUCUCCCUUUAUUGCCCAGGCUGGACUGCAGUGGCGUGAUCUCGGCUCACUGCAAGCUCCGCCUCCCGGAUUCAAGCGAUUCUUCUGCCUCAGCCUGCGAUUCUUCUGCCUCAGCCUCCCGAGUAGCUGGGACUACAGGCACGUGCUACCACACCUGGCUAAGUUUUUGUAUUUUUAGUAGAGAUGGGGUUUCACCAGAUUAGCCAGGAUGGUCUCCAGCUCCUGACCUCGUGAACCGCCCGCCUUCGUCUUACAAAGUGCUGGGAUUACAGGUGCGACAAGAUAAUGAACCUCCAUUCCUCUGAGAGAAGAGUAUUUUGAAUAUUCGACUUUGCCCAUGAAUUUCCCUUUCCAUGUCUUGCUCUGUUGCCCAGGUUGGAGUAAAAUGGUACAAUCACAGUUCACUGCAGCCUCGACCUCUCCAGUUCAAGUGAUCCUCCUGACUCUGCCUUCUGAGUGGCUGAGACUAUAGGCAUGCAUCAUUAUGCCUGGCUUUUUAAAAAACUUUUUGUAAAGAUGGGGUCUCCCUAUGUUGCCCAGGCUGAUCUUGAACACCUGGGCUCAAGGGAUCCUCCUGCCUUGGCAUCCCAAAGUAUUGAGAUUACAGGCAUGAGCCACCAUGCCUGGUCCUAACAUCAUUUUUUGGAUACUGCGCUUACUUCCUAAGAUCAAGAACAAGAUGUUGAACCCAAGAGCACUCCUUCACAUAUCUGCUUCAAAGUCUUCUUCUGAGAGAUCCCAACCUAAAUAUCGUCUGAAACCGAUCAACCAACCUUCAUACAACUUAUUUAUCUCACAUGAACUUUUAGAGCCAAAAUACUUGCCAGAAAGAAAUUUGAAACUUUGGUUUAAAUAUGAAUAAGAUGAGACCAUUUGUCCUAGAAAAAAAGCAAGUAUACAGGCAAUUGUCUACAAUUUAUUCACAUAAGAAUAACACGUGAAUGUAUCCUCUUUUCAUUGUAUCACUUAACAGUAGAGCCU